AGUGAGAUAUUUUCUCAAGUAAGUUAAAUAUCUCUCUGAGCUUCAUUUAUUUUAUAGUGCAUUUUUUUUCAUUUUUUCAAGUUUUGUUGAAGUAUAGCUGAUUUACAAUGAGGUGAUAAAUUCUGCUGUACAGCAAAGUGAUUCAGUUAUACAUAUGCCCACGCAUUCAUUCUUUUUCAGAUUUUUCUCCCACAUUAUCACAGAAUACUGGGUAGAGUUCCCUGAGCUAUAGAGCAGGUCCCCAUUGCCACAUGGGGCUGACAGCUGCCAUACUGGACAGCACUGGGGUAACUGCUCCACAUCCUUAGCUAGCGAGUGAAAGGCACAGAGCAGAGGCCCAGUGAACACUCUGUGAACAUGUGGGAUAAGAUAGGAGCCAUUGUUUCUCCUGAAAGGUAAGAGAUUCCGUUUGUUAUUGAAACAUACACGAACCAAUACAAGCUUCAUGUUGUUUGAGGAUGAGGCAGAGACAAAGGAGACUGGAAAGUAGGCAGAAGUCAGUUAACGGAAGGCCUUUUAUAACUGAGACAUUUGAAUUUUAUCCUGAAGGAAAGAUAAUGGAUCUUGUGACACCAUUCAGGUUUGAUGGGCCCUACAUGAGUCAGGGAAAGUGACUAAGGAGCUGGUAUAACAUCCAAGCAGUGAGGCCUGGUACUGCAACAAAGUACAGCUCCACUAGAAAGGCACACACACCUUUCCCCAUCGACCUACAGAUGGAGCAGCCUGUUGGACUCCAUGUAAAAGGGGAAUUUGGGGGCCCAGCCAGCGAGGGAACCAUCAACCUGGCCUCUUACAUUUGCUGCGGCUUCACUUUCAUCUUGUAGCUAUUGGCUGUGAGGCAUGAUUCCACAGAUUCAUCAUGGUGGAAGGCUUUGCCCUCAUGAAAAGGAUUGUGGAUCUAUUUAAAGGUCACUUUCACAUGUCAAGGUCAUUUUUUCUUAUUUUUCUUUUAGCCCAGGCCAGACCUCAGAAGCUCCAGCUUUUCAGUGUAUUCCAGCUGGGGUGGGGGUUUUUCCUCCCUGUACUUUUUUCACCCACAAAUGAUACUCCAUAAAACAAGAGACAAAAGAGAAAAAAAAAAAGCAGUGAUAGUUUAGAUAAUUCUGCACCAUCCAUAGGCAGGGAACUAGGGGCAGGAGUGGAAUAGAAAGUCCACACAAAUAAAUCAGUGUUGAUCUGAAGUUAACACAUCAAAAUCCAUUCCAUAGAUCUGAACUAUGGUAUUUUGAGAAUUUCAGCUGUUUAGCUUUUCAGCAGGUAUCAGGGAACACACUUUGGUCCUGCAUUACCAUAAAGAACUCUUUUUGGUUUUGUUUUCGUCUUUGUAUUUUAGGCUGCACACGUGGCAUGUGGAGGUUCCCAGGCUAGGUGUCCAAUCGGAGCUGUAGUGGCCAGCCUACACCACAGCCACAACAAUGGGGGAUCUGAGCUGUGUCUGCGACCUACACCACAUCUCAUGGCAAUGCUCAAUCCUUAACCCACUGAGAAAGGCCAGGGAUGAACCCACAUCCUCAAGGAUGCUAGUUGGGUUCAUUAACCACUGAGCCACAAUGGGAACUCCCAUAAGGAACUCUUUAGGAAAAUUUGAUGAAAGUAGAGUCAUAGCCAUGAGAAAGAUUUGUUUAAAAACUACUUUAAGCUUUUUCUUUGGGAUUUUUGUACAGGAGGAUGUCUGUCACAGUGAUUUUCAUGUUAUUUAAUCAGCCAUGGCUGUCACAGUAAUGUGGACACAAAGCCCUUACACAGGCACAAAGGCAUCAGGAAUUACUUGUUAACUCCUCUGUAAUGAAGCAGAACUUAAACUAAGUCCAAGUUCUACCACUAACUUCCUAUAUGAUCUCAAGCAAAUCCAAUAAAUUUCUAAGCCUUGGUUUCCCCAUCUUUAAGUCGAGGGCAAUUUACAGAGUAGUUGUGAAGACAGAGUGGAAAAAAACUGGCAUGUUGACUGAUGUUCCAUAAAUCUGUUCUUUAUCUGAGUAAAGUAGUACAUGGACUUGGGGCCGAUAGACUUAGGAUAAAGAUCCAGCUCUGUCCCUCCCUAAUUGCAUGGCCUGGGACAACUCACACACAUCAUUUGGCUUUACUAUAAAAUGAGAUGAUAGUAUUUUUCCCCAAUUAAACAGCAUGGUGUAUUCGACAUUCAGUUUUGUCUUCGUCCUCUGAAAGCAGUCUGAGGCAAGGAUUAAGGUGCUGACUUCAAGGUGGAGGUGCAAGACAAACAAGACCAAGGUAAAAAAGAAAAGCAGAAGUGAAUGAAAGAAGUAGGUGAACUAAUGUGAUCUGUACUUUGCUAAGGCGCCACUUGUCAGGGUGAGCUGCAGAGGUGCUCAUCCCGCAAGGCACGCUCAUUCCUUCAGCCAGUAUAACUUUCCAGAAGGUUAUACUCAGCACUCUCUUUUUCCUCCCUCUGUAUCUACCUUGUUCCUCUUGGUCUCCUUUUCCCAUUGAUCAAGGUCUAUCCCACAGGGAGCUUAUGUCCCACACCUCUGAGUCAUAUCACUUGCCCUCGCCAUAGCUGAUCAGGGAGAAAUUCAUCUCUCCCAUGUGGACCAAAAGGCCUAGGCCUUGUGACCUCAACAGCUCAGAGAGCUCUGUGACCACAACAGCCCCAGAACGCCUCAGCCCUACUGUGCUGGGCUCUACUGCUGUGCAGGGGAAGAUGGGCAUCAGUGGCACAGAGCUGGAAUGAGAUUUCAAUCUUUAAAAGAUACUUGGAAAGCUUAAAUGUGAUACGUCCAUUUUAGAAAUAAGGAAUUGGAGGCCCAAAGAGAGAAAUCCACUUCUCUAAGUUACACAGCUACCAUUGUCAAAGUCCCUUAAACCUGUGUUCCUCCACGUCUAUAUUCCAUAAUCUACCUGGCAAUCUUGUCUGAAAGGAGAUUCUGACCCCGUAGGUUUGAGCUGAGCAAAGAUAGGGCCUGUGGACCACGUUUUGUGUAGCAAGGCUUUAAACGGCCAGUCGCCUUGGAAAUCCACACUAAGCAUCAGGUAAAUGAGACUU
rnacentral:lncRNA from 1 species